rnacentral:rRNA from 1 species
CGGACGGGUGAGUAAUGUCUGGGAAACUGCCCGAUGGAGGGGGAUAACUACUGGAAACGGUAGCUAAUACCGCAUAACGUCGCAAGACCAAAGAGGGGGACCUUCGGGCCUCUUGCCAUCGGAUGUGCCCAGAUGGGAUUAGCUAGUAGGUGGGGUAAUGGCUCACCUAGGCGACGAUCCCUAGCCGGUCUGAGAGGAUGACCAGCCACACUGGAACUGAGACACGGUCCAG